CGGCAACAGCUCAAAUUUGAAAUCUGGCCCUCGGGUCCGAAUUGUAAUUUGUAGAGGAUGCUUUCAGGUUUUGGUGCCUUCUGAGUUCCCUGGAAUGGGACGCCAUAGAGGGUGAGAGCCCCGUAUAGUCGUGCACCAGGCCGUUGUAAAGCACCUUCGA
rnacentral:rRNA from 1 species